rnacentral:rRNA from 1 species
CCGGUUACGACUGCAGCACGGUGUACUUGCGGAGGAUCAUUACCUAGAGUUGUAGGCUUUGCCUGCUAUCUCUUACCCAUGUCUUUUAAGUACCUUCGUUUCCUCGGCGGGUUCGCCCGCCGAUUGGACAAUUUAAACCAUUUGCAGUUGCAAUCAGCGUCUGAAAAAACUUAAUAGUUACAACUUUCAACAACGGAUCUCUUGGUUCUGGCAUCGAUGAAGAACGCAGCGAAAUGCGAUAAGUAGUGUGAAUUGCAGAAUUCAGUGAAUCAUCGAAUCUUUGAACGCACAUUGCGCCCCUUGGUAUUCCAUGGGGCAUGCCUGUUCGAGCGUCAUUUGUACCUUCAAGCUCUGCUUGGUGUUGGGUGUUUGUCUCGCCUCUGCGUGUAGACUCGCCUCAAAACAAUUGGCAGCCGGCGUAUUGAUUUCGGAGCGCAGUACAUCUCGCGCUUUGCACUCAUAACGACGACGUCCAAAAGUACAUUUUUACACUCUUGACCUCGGAUCAGGUAGGGAUACCCGCUGAACUUAA